UUGGUUGUCCCUACCUUUAAGACAUGCUCAAUUUGUUAAAUGCUAAUCACACUUCUUCAUCUCCACUUGAGUAGAUCUCUAUAAAUGCUAUCAUGCUACCUUUGUCUAUUUACUAGUAAGUGUUAGUUUGGAAGUACUGCACAUACUUCUAUUGGCUUUUAAAUUAAGCAUGGUGCUUAGGUUAAACAACCUUCCUUAAUCUGAUUAGACAUGGAGUCUAGUUCGGUUAUUGAACUAAAAAACUGCUUGUGUAGACAUUGGUAUAUUUUUGUCGGACUAACCCCUGCAGAAAAACUUUCAAUAUCGAUUUGGGAAGUCCUGAGAUAAACUCACAUCAGAGAUGAAGAGAGUGACACAUGAAGUUUAACAAUUUGCACAAGAAGGACAUAGCUCAUUCAUCAUAGAGAGAUGAUCCAUGGAGGGUACCACAAACACGAUGCACAAACACUAAGAAAGGAAAGCUUCCACAAGGUGAUACUUUACCAUCACUCUUCAAGCAAGGUAACAUCUUAAGGUACUUGACUAUCACUUUUAUAAGCUUCUCCUUGGUUCUGGCGUUCAUAUAAAUAAAAGAGACAAACAUGUAUGAUUUACAACUCUAGAUUAACCAACCCAACUGAUUCAACAUGUUUAGUCCUUUAACCCUUGUUCUUAGUACUACCUCCAUGAUCCCACACUCCUAAUCAUAUGAGCUAAAAUGUUACACAUUCAAUCAUUGAGAGAUAUAAAGAAAAAGACAUAUACAUAGAUAGAUUAUCUUUCCAUAAGGUUGAGCGAUCUGAUCUGACAAAUGUUAUAAGUGCUACACUCAUGAACUUUUCAUCCAUCAACUUUGUCUUGCUCACUAUGCUUAGGGUUAGAGAAGAACAAAUACACUUUAGGUUCUGUUGGUGUUUUCCACCAACAGGACCCAUGCACUUGAUCUCUGCCUUGUCUCUAUGAGCAGGUACACUUUGAGCAAAACACGGAGGAGUUUUAUAACUCUCAGACUCUACCAAGUGAAGGACCUAGAUCUACGAGCACAAACACAUAGAGCAGGUUACUGCCAACGCCGCACUUCGAGCUGCUGGGCAAACGAAGAACAUGGGCGACACCGUAUCAAGAGGUGCAGACGUCAAGGUCCGCACCUGAAUCAAAUGACGCACCUGAAGAAUGAACACGAUGAGAAGUCUUGUUAAGAAGACUUAAAACAUUGAACCCUUGCCGAAAGGUAAGAUCAGUUGUUAUUCAUAUUUAUCCUUUCUGCAUUCCCUUUUCCCUUUGAUUAUUUACUUUCCUUAAAUUGAUUAUUAGUUAAUCAUGCUAUCUUGAAAAGAAAAUAAAAAUGUUAAAAAAUACUAAGCCCCAUGUGAGUCUACGAGUGGCAUAAUACCCAUAAGUACCUUCACUGUGGUGGCAUAAAAAUAAAAUAAAUAUUUCUUUUCUGCUUUAUAAAAUAAAAAUAUAAAAACAGGGAGUAAUAUUUAUUGAGGAAGCUCAACAUGAUGAAGGCUAGAUAUUUAUGCUAACACAUAAUUAGUUCCACAAGCUUUGUUGUCUAUUUGAGCUCCACAGAAUUUAAGAAUCAAGAAGACUAGCAGACGGAGGACAUUCUAAUCGCUGUCACAAUGCUGCUGACUUUCAAAUACACCUCUGCCACCUGCUAGCUACAUCAAGAGAAAUUACGUCAAAAUUCAGCUUGGGGGAGAGCACCCCCAUUUAUCUCGCUAAGUAUUUCUACCUAUCUUUAUACUUAUAUUAUAUUAGAAUAUUAAAAUACAUAAAGUAUGAAAAACUAAAUAAAGAUUUUGUGCUUAUAUAUAUCUUUUGCUUAGUGUGUUUAAUAAAUAAAUAAAGUGGCUAUGCUAAUCUGAAUCUUAAUAAUAAAACUCUAGCAUGGAUAUGAUGAAUAGUUGCUCUGCCUAAUUUGCAAAUUUGAAGUUCUCUCUCAAGUUUAGACAUAACUGUUAUAAUUUAAAGCUUGCUCUAGAUCUAAAUUUGUGGGAUAAAAACUUGAUCUGAAAUCUAAGUUGUUAACGGAUAUGAUAUGGGAAGGUUGAGCUGCUGUUUAUCUGUUCCUUGAGAUGCUAGAAUUCUGGAGAAUUUUAUCUUUGAAAAAUCUUUAAAAUAUUGAAUGAUGAGUUCCUGUAUGAUGAAAGUUUAAAUUCCUACCACAGCCAUAUAUACAUGCUUGCUAGACUUUGAGCCAGACAUUUACUAUUUACUGCUUAUGAGCAUUGAGUGUGGUCAAGCUGUGUAGACCCUUAGGAGCUUGUCAUGUGGUUAAAUCAAGAUUUCACUUGCACAUUCACUCAUAUAUGCUACUUCUACUCCGGAAGUACCAUCCACAUAUAUCCACUCAUUUCCAUCUCCAGAACCACCCAAAAAAUAUUCUACUCCUAAUCCGGGAGAGAAUAACCAAAAAUAUUUCUGUUUUUCCGUGUGAAAUAAAUGCUCAAGUUAUCUUGUUACUACCACUUGCUAUAUUAUCUCAUGAGAUGAGUGCUCUAAAAAAGGAGAGAAAAAAUAUAUGAGGAAAAAAAAAGGGGCAGGUGCCCGGAACCUCGAAAGAAAAGAAAAAGAGUGAGACGAGAGGUAAAAAUGGACAAGUGUCCGACAGUAGAAUUAGGGGUACAGGAUACCCACCUGAGAGGAAAGAAAAAAAUGAAAGAUAGAGCAUCUCAUUCUCCUCAUAAAGUUUAAAAAAGCAAGGAAGGUAUGUAUCCCCUCAAAAGAGCAAAAGUAGAAUUAGACUUCCACCAUUGUUAUCACCAUCAUCACCAUACACCAUUCAUUCGCCACACAUGCACAUCAUGAUUUGACUUAUUGACUUGUUUCUCUAGAUCCAUGGUUUGACUAUGCAAUAAAUGUCUUGUAAGUAUGUAUUAGCUGUCUCCCACCUAUGAGCUCCAGAUAUUAAAGCCUUAUUAGAGUAGGGUGAGAGAGAAGACAAUGUCACUAUGCCAUAUACCACAAAUACCACAUAUCUUGAGAGAAGGCAUAUACCAUCACUGCCUUGGUAAGGAUCCAGAAAUACCACAAAAGAGAGAUUUAGAGAGUCAUACAAGGAAUCUCUGAGUUUUAUUUGAAAAUCUACAAAAAUUCCAGAGCUAUAGCUGAUCAAGAAUAAGAGACAUGGCACUUGGCUAGACUGUUCUAUCUUUUAACUAAAGACAUAAGUGACGGUUACAAGUCCCAUGGUGAAAGGCACAGUAAGUAAGUUUUAGUUCUUGACAGUUUACUCUAACUCAGAGAUGAGAUCUUAUUUAAAAGCAUGUGUACCGUCAAAUUUUUAAGAUAUUGCAACAACUUCUGAUCCACUGCUGUGUCUAUCCUUGCUCAGGGACGAGCAAGAGGUAAGCUUGGGGGAGUUUGUUGACGGUCCUUAAGUAUCAAAUUUAAUUAUCAAAUAAACAAAGAAAAGGAUCCAAAUGAAAUCAACAUCUAGACUUAGGGUUUUAUCUGAUAGAAUUCCACGAGUUUUGGUGUUUGUCUAUUUCUGUAGGGGGUUAUCAGGAAAUACGGAAGAAAGGCCCACACGUCGGGAUUACAUAGAGAUAUUAAUGUGCCGUGCAAUUAUCUUACAUCUAAAAGACUCCAGAAGCCACGGGAAGAAAGCGGAGGCCGAACGGGGCCAGAGGCAGGGCGCCCGCCCUCCUGCCUGGGCGCUCGCCCUGACUUGGAGCCCAAUCAAGACUCUUUCUCUCGGGAGAUCUCCACCGACCUAAAGGAUCAAGAAUAACCGUUCAAUCAAUGUCGGUUUGAUCCGACGGCCCAGGUUCACUUGAGGGGACUAUAUAACCAGACCCCCUGGCCCCUGGAGGAGGCACCCCUUGAUCAUUAUUUAUUAUUCAUAGACAGAGCAAAAGCUAGGGUUUAGAGAUGAGAGCUCUCCUCUCUUCUCUAAACUAGAGUAGAUCUAGAUAGUAG
rnacentral:lncRNA from 1 species